UACAGUUCCGUGUUAAGAAAGCUCUCGGCGUGGUUUUGAGUUGGUUCCUUUGCAAUGCCCUGUUGUUCUGCGUGGGGAUGCUCGAAUAGAUCAGAGAUGGGAUCUAGGAUGUUUGUGUUUCCCCGUAAUCCAGCUCUGGGAGGCAAGAGUGAAACGAAAGAACUGGGCGGCAUCGUCAUCGUCGUUUCUUUGUGAGGGUCCACUUUGAUGUGUCUCAGUUUGAAUGUAAGAGAUUGAUGGGAAGAGGAAACUGGCUGUGCCUACAAUUUUUUCUCACCGAACGAGUUCCUGCUCAGAGAAAGCCUCCGACUGAAAGAAGUGCCCCGUCAAUCCCAGCAGCUCCAUCUGACCACACCUAUUGUGAACAUGGUCAACUAUCACCUGUGAAGGUGGGUCAGAGUCCCGGUCUGAUGACCGUCUCCUUCUGUUCACGCAUGCACAUACUUGGGCUCUGAUCCUCACGCCUGGGCCAGACUUUCCCUCCAGCAAGUCUAACGAAGCUCGUCCAGUGGAGGUAUCUGACGGCGAAGUUACCUGGUGAUACAUAAGACUAUGAAUAUCCGACAAAGGUAUGGUAUCAACUGAUCUUGAACAAGCACUAGAUGAAGAGGUACCUAGUACUGAAGUUGGUGUGUCUGCUAUGUACUAUAAAAAAUAUAGUAUACAGAAUCAAAAGAACUGGAGCUGUAGUUAGAUUAUUUAGUUAUGUCUACCUCAGCUGCAGCAUACGUAGUAUAGUGAUGAUUAUCAGGCGUCGAUUUGUAAGUGGUCAUGUUACACAGUAAGCAGAAACAAU